CCCGAAAUAUCGAAUGAGGAGAUUCAUCGUCAGCGUGUUUAGUUUCCAUGCGUUUAGUGAUGACACACAUUCGUUGUGGUAUAUCUGAUUACGUCGGCGUGCACUUCUCCUCUAGUAGAACGUUGCGACCCGCUGGGUGUUGGCUUAAGGACUGAGAUGUUGACUGUUUUCGUUCGUUUACGCGUUCUGUUGACAGACACUUGGAUUUCUGGCUGACUGCUCGGCGGUAUACACAAGGUAUUGAGCCGCACUUUGAAUGCGUUCAGACUCGUUUACAAGCUAAUCAUAAAUAACUUAAGGGUGCGGACCUAGUGCCGUCCUUAAGGAUGGUUGGCUGUUGGUGAAUGAUGUUCUCGAACUGGCUAAAUACCGGUCAGCGACGCUAUUGCUUUGGGUACUUUCAGGACCCGUCUUGAAACACGGACCAAGGAGUCUAACAUGUGCGCAGUCAUUGGGUUAUUUAAACCUAAAGGCGCAUUGAAAGAGAAGAUCGGCCUUGUGUCGAUUGAGGGAAGAUAGGCAAUGUUAAAUAUUGCUUCGCACUCCCGGGGUGUCUCGUAGUCAUUGCGACUUGAGGCGCACCCAGAGCGUACACGUUGGGACCCGAAGAUGGUGAACUAUGCCUGGUCAGGAUG
rnacentral:rRNA from 1 species